GGCCAGCAGCCGCGGUAAUACGUAGGGGGCGAGCGUUGUCCGAAUUCACUGGGCGUAAAGCGCGCGUAGGCGGACCUUUAAGUCAGAGGUGAAAUGCCGAGGCUCAACCUCGGAACUGCCUUUGAAACUGGGGGUCUUGAGGUAUGGAGAGGGAAGUGGAAUUCCAGGUGUAGCGGUGAAAUGCGUAGAUAUCUGGAGGAACACCCGUGGCGAAGGCGGCUUCCUGGUCAUAUCCUGACGCUGAGGUGCGAAAGCCAGGGGAGCGAACGGGAUUAGAUACCCCGGUAGUCCUGGCCGUAAACGAUGGAUACUAGGUGUUAGAGGUAUCGACCCCUCUAGUGCCGGAGCUAACGCAUUAAGUAUCCCGCCUGGGGAGUACGACCGCAAGGUUGAAACUCAAAGGAAUUGACGGGGGCCCGCACA
rnacentral:rRNA from 1 species